rnacentral:rRNA from 1 species
GACGAACGCUGGCGGCGUGCUUAACACAUGCAAGUCGAACGGAAAGGCCCUGCUUGCAGGGUACUCGAGUGGCGAACGGGUGAGUAACACGUGGGUGAUCUGCCCUGCACUUCGGGAUAAGCCUGGGAAACUGGGUCUAAUACCGGAUAGGAGCCAUUUUUAGUGUGAUGGUUGGAAAGUUUUUUCGGUGUAGGAUGAGCUCGCGGCUUAUCAGCUUGUUGGUGGGGUAAUGGCCUACCAAGGCGGCGACGGGUAGCCGGCCUGAGAGGGUGGACGGCCAAAUUGGGAAUGAGAUACGGCCCAGACUCCUACGGGAGGCAGCAGUGGGGAAUAUUGCAAAAUGGGCGCAAGCCUGAUGCAGCGACGCCGCGUGGGGGAUGACGGCCUUCGGGUUGUAAACUCCUUUCGCUAGGGACGAAGCUUUUUGUGACGGUACCUAGAUAAGAAGCACCGGCUAACUACGUG